AUACGGAGGGUCCAAGCGUUAUCCGGAAUCAUUGGGUUUAAAGGGUUCGCAGGCGGUUCAUUAAGUCAGUGGAGAAAUCUCUCGGCUCAACCGAGAAACUGCCAUUGAUACUGAUGGACUUGAAUAUAGUUGGAGUAGGCGGAAUGUGUAGUGUAGCGGUGAAAUGCUUAGAUAUUACACAGAACACCGAUAGCGAAGGCAGCUUACUAAACUAUUAUUGACGCUCAUGAACGAAAGCGUGGGGGGCGAACAGGAUUAGAAACCCUAGUAGUCC
rnacentral:rRNA from 1 species